rnacentral:rRNA from 1 species
CGGUUGAUCCUGCCGGACCUGACUGCUAUCGGAUUGAUACUAAGCCAUGCGAGUCAUUGUAGCAAUACAAGGCAGACGGCUCAGUAACGCGUAGUCAACCUAACCUAUGGACGGGAAUAACCUCGGGAAACUGAGAAUAAUGCCCGAUAGAACACUAUACCUGGAAUGGUUUGUGUUCCAAAUGAUUUAUCGCCGUAGGAUGGGACUGCGGCCUAUCAGUUUGUUGGUGAGGUAAUGGCCCACCAAGACUAUUACAGGUACGGGCUCUGAGAGGAGUAGCCCGGAGAUGGGUACUGAGACACGGACCCAGGCCCUAUGGGGCGCAGCAGGCGAGAAAACUUUGCAAUGUGCGAAAGCACGACAAGGUUAAUCCGAGUGAUUUGUGCUAAACGAAUCUUUUGUUAGUCCUAGAACCACUAACGAAUAAGGGGUGGGCAAGUUCUGGUGUCAGCCGCCGCGGUAAAACCAGCACCUCAAGUGGUCAGGAUGAUUAUUGGGCCUAAAGCAUCCGUAGCCGGCUCUGUAAGUUUUCGGUUAAAUCUGUACGCUUAACGUACAGGCUGCCGGGAAUACUGCAGAGCUAGGGAGUGGGAGAGGUAGACGGUACUCGGUAGGAAGGGGUAAAAUCCUUUGAUCUA